GACGAAGGAUGCAAGCGUUAUCCGGAUUCAUUGGGUUUAAAGGGAGCGUAGGUGGUCUUAUAAGUCAGUGGUGAAAUCUCGCAGCUUAACUGCGAAACUGCCAUUGAUACUGUAGGACUUGAGUAUAGUUGCUGUGGGCGGAAUAUGACAUGUAGUGGUGAAAUACUUAGAGAUGUCAUAGAACACCGAUUGCGAAGGCAGCUCACAAAACUAUAACUGACACUGAGGCUCGAAAGUGCGGAGAUCAAACAGG
rnacentral:rRNA from 1 species